rnacentral:rRNA from 1 species
CCCUUAGAUGUUCUGGGCCGCACGCGCGCUACACUGAUGCAUUCAACGAGCCUAUCCUUGACCGACAGGUCCGGGUAAUCUUUGAAUCUGCAUCGUGACGGGGAUAGAUUAUUGCAAUUAUUAAUCUUCAACGAGGAAUGCCUAGUAGGCGCAAGUCAUCAGCUUGCGUCGAUUACGUCCCUGCCCUUUGUACACACCGCCCGUCGCUCCUACCGAUUGGGUGCUGGGGUGAACAUUGUGGAGAUUUGAGCUUCGGCUUGGUCAAAGCAAUGUGAAUCUUGCCGCCUAGAGGAAGGAGAAGUCGUAACA